GAAAGUAAGCAAGGGCGCAUGGCGGAUGCCUUGGCUCUCGGAGGCGAUGAAGGACGUGAUAAGCUGCGAUAAGCUUCGGGUAGGUGCAAAUAACCUUUGAUCCGAAGAUUUCCGAAUGGGACAACCCGUCAUUCUGAAGGAAUGACAUCUUGCAUAGCAAGAGGCUAACGCAGGGAACUGAAACAUCUUAGUACCUGUAGGAAAAGAAAAUAAUAAUGAUUCCCCUAGUAGUGGCGAGCGAACGGGGAUUAGCCCAAACCAAUGUUGUUACGGCAAUAUUGGGGUUGUAGGACCACGAUGUCGCAAGAAAUUUAGUGAGAAGAACCCUUUGGAAAAUGGGACCAUAGACGGUGAUAGUCCGGUAUUCGAAGCUAAAUGAAGCGUAGUGGUAUCCUGAGUAGCGCGGGACACGAGGAAUCUUGCGUGAAUCUGCCGGGACCAUCCGGUAAGGCUAAAUACUCCCGAGAGACCGAUAGCGAACCAGUACUGUGAAGGAAAGGUGAAAAGCACUUCGAAUAGAAGAGUGAAAUAGUCCCUGAAACCGUGCGCCUACAAGCGGUCGGAGCUGCUUCAGCAGUGACGGCGUGCCUUUUGCAUAAUGAACCUACGAGUUACUUUUUCCGGCAAGGUUAAGGAUCUUGAGAUCCGCAGCCGAAGCGAAAGCGAGUCUUAACAGGGCGAUUAGUCGGAAGGAGUAGACGCGAAACCAAGUGAUCUACCCUUGGUCAGGUUGAAGGUUAGGUAACACUAACUGGAGGACCGAACCGAUAAGCGUUGAAAAGCUUCCGGAUGAACUGAGGGUGGGGGUGAAAGGCUAAUCAAACUUGGAGAUAGCUCGUACUCCCCGAAAUGCAUUUAGGUGCAGCCUUGGGAAUUACUACUGUGAGGUAGAGCGACUGAUAAGAUGCGAGGGCUUCACCGCCUAUCAAGUCUUGAUAAACUCCGAAUGCGCAGUAGUUCGAUCCCAGGAGUGAGGGCAUGGGUGCUAAGGUCCAUGUCCUAAAGGAGAAGAAUCCGGACCAUCAGCUAAGGUCCCGAAAUAAUUGCUAAGUUGAACUAACGAAGUCAGAUUGCUAAGACAGCUAGGAUGUUGGCUUGGAAGCAGCCAUUCAUUUAAAGAGUGCGUAACAGCUCACUAGUCGAGGAGUUUGGCGUGGAUAAUAAUCGGGCAUUAAGCAAUUUACCGAAGCUAUGGGAUCCGUAAGGAUCGGUAGGGGAGCAUUCCACUCUGCGUCGAAGGUGAAGCGUGAGCUUUGCUGGAGCGUGUGGAAAAGCAAAUGUAGGUAUAAGUAACGAUAAAGGGGGUGAGAAACCCCCUCGCCGAAAGACUAAGGUUUCCUGAUCAACGCUAAUCGGAUCAGGGUUAGUCGGGUCCUAAGGCUCAGCCGAACGGUGAGGCCGAUGGCAGAACAGGUUAAUAUUCCUGUACUACCUUAAGGAGUGACGUGGAGACGGAGGAGUGACAGCGCCGCGGACUGACGGAAUAGUCCGUUGAAGGGUGUAGAUGUUGAUUAUCCCAGGCAAAUCCGGGAUAAGAGUCGAACCUGAUAGUAUACCAAAUUCUUCGGAAUAAGGUAAUAGUGCGUGUAAGCAUACUCCCAAGAAAAUCCGCUAAACUUAAUCUUUAAGGUACCCGUACCGCAAACGGACACACGUAGUCGGGUUGAAUAUACUAAGGCGCUUGAGUGAUUCACGGUUAAGGAACUAGGCAAAUUGACCCUGUAACUUCGGGAUAAAGGGUCCCAACGAGAGUUGGGCGCAGAGAAUAGGUCCAGGCAACUGUUUAACAAAAACACAGGGCUGUGCCAAAUUGAAAGAUUACGUAUACAGCCUGACACCUGCCCGGUGCUGGAAGGUUAAGAGGAGAUGUCAUCGCAAGAGAAGCAUUGAAUUGAAGCCCCAGUAAACGGCGGCCGUAACUAUAACGGUCCUAAGGUAGCGAAAUUCCUUGUCGGGUAAGUUCCGACCUGCACGAAUGGUGUAAUGAUCUGGACACUGUCUCAACCGUGAGCUCAGUGAAAUUGUAGUAUCGGUGAAGAUGCCGAUUACCCGCGAUGGGACGAAAAGACCCCGUGAACCUUUACUAUAGCUUAACAUUGAAUUUGGGUAAUUGAUGUGUAGGAUAGGCCGGAGACUUUGAAUCAGGUACGCCAGUAUUUGUGGAGUCGCUGUUGAAAUACGGCCCUUUGAUUAUUUGAGUUCUAACUCGUAGAUGCGAGGACACUGUUUGGUGGGUAGUUUGACUGGGGUGGUCGCCUCCAAAAGUGUAACGGAGGCUUCUAAAGGUGCCCUCAGGACGAUUGGUAACCGUCCGUAGAGUGUAAUGGCAUAAGGGCGCUUGACUGGGAGACAGACAAGUCGAUCAGGUAGGAAACUAGAGCAUAGUGAUCCGGUGUUUCCGCAUGGAAGGGACAUCGCUCAAAGGAUAAAAGGUACUCCGGGGAUAACAGGCUGAUCCCUCCCAAGAGCUCAUAUCGACGGAGGGGUUUGGCACCUCGAUGUCGGCUCGUCACAUCCUGGGGCUGGAGAAGGUCCCAAGGGUUGGGCUGUUCGCCCAUUAAAGUGGCACGCGAGCUGGGUUCAGAACGUCGUGAGACAGUUCGGUCUCUAUCUAUCGUGGGCGUAUGAAAUUUGCGUGGCUCUGACACUAGUACGAGAGGACCGUGUUGGACUGACCGCUGGUUUACCAGUUGUGCCGCCAGGUGCAUCGCUGGGUAUCUAAGUCGGGAUUGGAUAAGUGCUGAAAGCAUCUAAGUACGAAGCCAGCCACAAGAUUAGAUUUCUU
rnacentral:rRNA from 1 species